rnacentral:tRNA from 1 species
GGGCGGAUAGCUCAGCUGGGACAGCGUCGGCCUUACAAGCCGAAUGUCGCAGGUUCGAUCCCUGUUCCGCCCACCA